CUCUACACUCUUUUUACAUUUGGUCCCUAUAAUAUUGCUUCUUCUUCUUCUUCCAUUUUUCUUUUAUAUCGGAUAUUCGUCUCUUCCACAGAACAGAGAAAAGAGCAAUAACGUAAAAGUGUGAAGAAACCAAGUAAAGAGAAGAGAACAGUUAUGGGGCAAUGCUCAUCGACGACAAGGACGAGGAGAAGAAAGAGGAAAAGGCAAGAAGAAGGUUGCAGAGAAUCAAUGGGGAGGAAUAAAGGAUGUUUAGCGAUGGUCAAGGAGAGGCGUUCUAGGUUUUAUAUCGCCCGACGAUGUGUUCUUAUGUUGCUUUGUUGGCACAAAUACGCCAAUUCUUGAUGAGGUUUGUGUUAGACCAUCAUCAACGCUGGGUUAUUAGGCUAAUCUUAUGUGAUUCUUAGGUAAAUUUAGGAUUAAAUUUAAAUCAAAAUACAAUUAAAAUCAUAAGAUCCGUAUAUUAUAUAAGAUCAAAAUGAGGGUGGAAGAGGUGUAUACGUGGCAAGCAUCGAUUGGCUUUGAUGAUAAAUAUAUAAAUCAUUUUUUUCCUUUUUUUCAUUUUUCUUUCUUCUCUCUCUCUCUCUCUCUCUCUCUCUCUCUCUGUUCGCGAAAAAGAGAAACGAAGAGCGAUUUCUUCGAUUCUUCCGUAAUCCGACGAUGAAGCCGGAAUGAGUCAUCGCCGGCCAUCGUUUCCGGUAGAUGAUGAAGACGACUGAUUCCCUUUCUCCGCGGCGGCUGAAGUUGACCUAAUCGACGAGCAAAGGAAAUCGAAAUCGGCUGAAGUACACCAUAUCGAUUCAAAAUCGGCUUCGGUUGUUCGAAAUCAGAGUCUUGGGAGUACUAUUCGGCAGUACAACGUAUGUAUUUGGUUCUGAUUGUUAGAAUUGAACUGAUUUUAAGUUUUAACAAAUUAGGGUUCUUGCUAUUUGGGAAAUUAGGGUUUCGUGAUUUGGGGGAAAUGGGAUAUUCGUUGUUAAGGCGUUAAUUAAGGUAAUUAAGCAACGAUUUGAGUGUGUGUAUGUAUUGUAAGGUAUGAUUUUUUGAUAAACUAAGGUUGAUUAAAUCCGAUGGUUGCUAGGAAACGUUUUUCUUUGGUGUGGUUCAAAUUUUCGAUAAUUAUGAAGGUGGAUCCUUAUUGUAUUCAUGAAUAAAUAGUAUUUGGUUGAUAGUUAGGUAUAGUAGAGAUGUUUAGGUUUGAAAUGUUACAUGAUUCGAUUUUGUCUUAUGAAUCUGACUUUUUGUUAUGUGUUAUAUGCGAGGACUGGCGAUUUGAGCAAGAAGUAUCAAAUGGUUUGCUAUAGAAAAGUCAAACAAGCCCAGAGAUUGAAUCCGAGAUGUGAGAUGCUUCUGCUAGGGUAGGGAUGAGAUAUGAGGAGAUAAUUCAGAGCUGCAAAGAUAAGCUACAAUCUGAUUCACGGACAGCAAAGGACAUCAUCACAUACACAACAAAUUAGAUUAACGGACAGCACAUGCCUUCUCAUCACAGCAACCACAAGACACAACAAGACACCACAUGCCUUCUCAUCACAGCAACCACAAGACACAACAAGACACCACAUGCCUUCUCAUCACAUCAACCACAAGACACAACAAGAUUCACGGACAUGCCUUCUCAUCACAGCAACCACAAGACACAACAAGAUUCACGGACAUGCCUUCUCAUCACGGACAGCACAUACACAACAAGACUUAUGGAGAUAGUUUUCUAUAUAUACAUCCGUGUUUGUGUAGUUUUUAUACAUUCUCUAUUUUUAUGUUCAUGUCAUUCAUAUCUUCCUUUGUAAUUCAAUCUCUCAAAAAUAAUUCUUCUCUUCCUUUGAAAAAUAAUUGAGCCCAUCUUUUACAUUAAAACUCUUUCUUUGUACUUCAAA